rnacentral:rRNA from 1 species
AUGUAUGGAGAUCUCUCCCCUCGUGCUACAUCAUGCACGUCGUCACUGCCUAUCAUGCCGAUUGCUUCUGAGGGUGAAGCUGUUGUCGAGGUUGUGGCUCCGGUGCUGCAGAUUAUGCCUAGGUUGCAGAAGCUCUGUGAGGAGCCCACUUCGCCUAUUUCGAUGGUGCUACCUAAGGAGUCAGGGUCGCUUGGAGGGGCCUUGGCGAUGCCAACUGUGACCUCACCGCAGUCGUUGGAGCCCAGUCAGCCUCUCGCCUUUGUGGACCGUGAAGGUUUGGAUGCUGUUGUUGCUCUCUCACCUGUGGCUAUUGGGCAGGCGACACCUAAUGUGGUCGGUACUUUGGCACCUAAUUCUGUGGCGCUGAAGCCCGUCUUUGACCAUGAAGCUAUGUGGGCACGUAUUGACGAGGUGGUCUUCAAGAAAAAGCUUUGUGGCUUGCUCGCCUCUUUGGAGGUAGCUAGCCCUGGGUCUGGCAAGGCGAUUGCUUGUCUCCUAGCGGAGGAGGCUUCUACAGGCAAAAUCAGGAAGGUGAAGAAGGUUCUUAGGAGCAUAGGCAAGAAGAGUGGCGCCCUUGGUAAGGCGUCUGCGGUUGCCUAA